rnacentral:lncRNA from 1 species
CCCCCAGUACCAUCCCCGGUACCAUCCUCCAGUACCACCCCUCCAGUACCAUCCCUCCAGUACCAUCCCUCCAGUACCAUCCCCCAGUACCAUCCCCCAGUACCAUCCCUCCAGUACCAUCCCUCCAGUACCAUCCCUCCAGUACCAUCCUCCAGUACCAUCCUCCAGUACCAUCCCUCCAGUACCAUCCCCCAGUACCAUCCCCGGUACCAUCCUCCAGUACCAUCCCCCAGUACCAACCCCGGUACCAUCCUCCAGUACCAUCCCUCCAGUACCAUCCCUCCAGUACCAUCCCCCAGUACCAUCCCCCCAGUACCAUCCCCCGGUACCAUCCUCCAGUACCAUCCCUCCAGUACCAUCCCCCAGUACCAUCCCCGGUACCAUCCUCCAGUACCAUCCCCCAGUACCAUCCCCCCAGUACCAUCCCCCGGUACCAUCCUCCAGUACCAUCCCCCCAGUACCAUCCUCCGGUACCAUCCUCCAGUACCAUACCCCAGUACCAUCCUCCAGUACCAUCCCUCCAGUACCAUCCUCCAGUACCAUCCCCCCAGUACCAUCCUCCAGUACCAUCCUCCAGUACCAUCCCUCCAGUACCAUCCCUCCAUACCAUCCCUCCAGUACCAUCCCUCCAGUACCAUCCCUCCAGUACCAUCUCCCAGUACCAUACCCCAGUACCAUCCUCCAGUACCAUCCUCCAGUACCAUCCUCCGGUACCAUCCUCCAGUACCAUACCCCAGUACCAUCCUCCAGUACCAUCCUCCAGUACCAUCCCUCCAGUACCAUCCUCCAGUACCAUCCCUCUAGCACCAUCCCCGGUACCAUCCUCCAGUACCAUCCCUCCAGCACCAUCCCCGGUACCAUCCUCCAGUACCAUCCCUCUAGCACCAUCCUCCAGUACCAUCCCUCCAGUACCAUCCUCCAGUACCAUCCUCCAGUACCAUCCCCGGUACCAUCCUCCAGUACCAUACCCCGGUACCAUCCCUCCAGUACCAUACCCCAGUACCAUCCUCCAGUACCAUCCCCGGUACCAUCCUCCAGUACCAUCCCUCCAGUACCAUCCCUCCAGUACCAUACCCCAGUACCAUCCUCCAGUACCAUCCCUCCAGUACCAUCCUCCAGUACCAUCCCCGGUACCAUCCUCCAGUACCAUCCUCCAGUACCAUCCCCGGUACCAUCCUCCAGUACCAUCCCUCCAGUACCAUCCUCCAGUACCAUCCUCCAGUACCAUCCCCGGUACCAUCCUCCAGUACCAUCCCUCCAGUACCAUCCUCCAGUACCAUCCCUCCAGUACCAUCCUCCAGUACCAUCCCCGGUACCAUCCCCCAGUACCAUCCCUCCAGUACCAUCCCCGGUACCAUCCUCCAGUACCAUCCUCCAGCACCAUCCCUCGACAAGUGUUUUUUUCAAAUUCUAAUUUCUGGAAAAGGCUUAAAAGAAAGGUUAAAUUCAGGUCAUGUGACAUAAUUAAUUAAAACACAGGGCCCAAGGCAUGAUAGAUGGAAGAGGAAGUGAGACAUCCUACUCACUCUUUUUUCUUCUGGUUCUUAUAGCCUACAGUCAAUGAACUGAGCAGACCAGACCCAGCUGCUAAUGCAUUGGGGUGCCUAUGGGAGAGCACCCCAAAAAUGGAGAUCACAAUCGAGUGAUGAGUGGGACAUCUUCAUUUAUCCACCAUCUUUGAUGAUGGCUCAAACACUGGCCCUCAGGCUCGUGAGUUCUUUGUCUCCUUAAUACGGGUAUUUUCCAAGUAAAAACAAAAAACAGGUGUACUUCCAGAGAUGACCUCUAGGUGGCGAUGAUGUCCAGUAAUUCCAGCCAGACAGCCCUCUGUACUGUACUGUACCAGCAGGAACAAUAGACGCUAUAGAGGAGGAAAAACAUGUUUUGCUCAUAUGGUGUCUAGGAUUAUGACCAAUAUGGAGUAGAUUUAACACCAUGCAUGUUUGUUUGGUCUACUAAAUUAAUUUGGGAUGGAUGGAUGGAUGGAUGGAUGUAUAGAGA